GUUAUUAUCAAAUAGUUUAGUGGUUAGAGUAUUAGUUUCCAAUUCUAAAAUCUUGAGUUCGAAUCCUAGUAGUGACA
rnacentral:tRNA from 1 species